CUUGGUCUUACAGCCAGAAAGUGGUGAUGCAAAGAACUUAUUCCAAGCUUUGAUCUUUUCUGCACUGCCUGCCAAAGCAGAACCUUGAGAAAUACCCAUGUUUGGGGGAUGAGAGGAAGAUAAAUCAGCAAAGAAAAUAGUGAUAAGAAAGAUGCAGAACCCAGGGAUAUGGAGAGCCAAUUGUAUUUGUAAAACACUUAGAAUGGUGCCUGACACUGAGUUGCUUUGUCUAAUUCCAGCCCUGUGAUAGCGAUCCAAGAUUGUUGUAACCUCCAGUGAUCAAGUUCUUUGGAUAAGCAAAGAGGGAGGACAUGAAGUGUGUGGAAAAGACCCC